rnacentral:rRNA from 1 species
GACGAACGCUGGCGGCGUGCUUAACACAUGCAAGUCGAACGGAAAGGCCCUGCUUUUGUGGGGUGCUCGAGUGGCGAACGGGUGAGUAACACGUGAGUAACCUGCCCUUGACUUUGGGAUAACUUCAGGAAACUGGGGCUAAUACCGGAUAGGAGCUCCGGCUGCAUGGUGGGGGUUGGAAAGUUUCGGCGGUUGGGGAUGGACUCGCGGCUUAUCAGCUUGUUGGUGGGGGAGUGGCUUACCAAGGCUUUGACGGGUAGCCGGCCUGAGAGGGUGACCGGCCACAUUGGGACUGCGGUACGGCCCAGACUCCUACGGGAGGCAGCAGUGGGGAAUAUUGCACAAUGGGCGGAAGCCUGAUGCAGCAACGCCGCGUGCGGGAUGACGGCCUUCGGGUUGUAAACCGCUUUCGCCUGUGACGAAGCGUGAGUGACGGUAAUGGGUAAAGAAGCACCGGCUAACUACGUG